GGAUAGAAGUGGAUAGACCUCCGCUGUUAUUUGCAGGAAGUGUAAAUGUAUGCAACUCUAUCCAUAAUAGAGGUAGAGGGCCUACUACACACGCGUUCGCUGAGUGACUCUGGGCUGCGUGGUUGACCUUCCGGUGAACUCGCUAACUAUAGCUGAGUAAAGGGAUGGGUCUGCAACUACUGCAAGGCCCUCGCUGACCAACCCUGCUACCAAGGUUAUGGUGGUUGGGGGGAAGGUCGGUGAGUGGUGGGUCCAGCAGUGGUCAAGGCCGGGUUACUCCAGAUACAGAGCGAGCACAAAGAGGGGUGGGUAGAGACCGAAUGACAACAGGGGAAUGUGGUUAUAAUGUUUUCGACGAGAGGGUAAGGCUGGGUUGCAUUCUAUAGCUAUAGAGAAAAUUAUAGAAAAUUCCUCUCUUGGCGUCCCAUACUGCUGAGGCCAAGGGAGAGUGUAUAUGACACCUGUUCACUGGGUUGGCUGCUGGGGGGUUUCUCCUGUCUCCCCUUAUGGUGCGAAACAGCCGCUUGGUGGAAGCACUUUGGCCAAACCAGCCCACUACACUCGGUAAUUACAUGCCUUCAGAUUCAUCUGAUUAGACUAUAUUGUCGGAUUCCGCUUCACUAUCAGCAAGCGUAUCAUAAUACGAAGAAAAGUAAAGACUUUGAUAAGGAAGUGUGUUCUCUCAUGGCCACAUACAUUGUGGAGAUAAUAAAGGGAACUCUCCCUCUGAGUCUUUACUAGCUCUGUUUUAUUCUUGUGCAACUAUCUUACUAUCGUAUCCAUAAAGUAACCACAUAUGGGGACAAGAUCAUAAUGGUUACUUUAAAAAGGCAUACUUGGGACUGUCUUCUUUCAGAACAGCAUUUCACUUCCCCGGACGCUGGCAUCUACAACCUAAUACCAGGCUUUGCCGGCUAUAUAUAGAUCCGCUGCAUCGAUUCCGCCUGCAUCAUCUUUAACCGUAAAGCCGUCCGCCGACACACUGACCUACAUUUAGCUGCGGUGCGUCUGCCGACCUGAACCCCAAUACCCUCCGCGCGACCUCUUUGUUUAAAAAAAAAAAAUCGGUGAACAAUGCAGUGGUACAGGCCUGACGUGUUCACGAUGUCAGAUCUCCUCUCGCAGCUAAAUACACCACGAAUAUUUCGAGAGGAUAAGAAGCUUCUGAUAAGAUCACUGCGCAUCCAUGCCGAACUAUUUCCCACUGUAAUGCUGAGGGAAGUCUGAACACAGUUUAUAUAAUGAGAUGUCUGAUUUUUCUGUGUGGUUUACAACACGGUCUCAAGAAAACUUAUGUUAUUCAGUAGCCUUAAUACAUAUUCUUAUAGUUAUCCACCCCCCCCCCCAAAGGAUUUAAAAUAUGUAGUAACAGUCCCUCAUGAACAUUUCUAAAUGAUUAACCAGGAAGUUUGUCCGCUUCUUGAUAACAUUUUAAAGUGGUCUAGCAGAAACUGCAUUUGAACAACGCAUGGCUUGUACAUAAGGCUUGUUUUACUUAAUAUACUUUACAUAUUUUGUAUGACUUUGUGAAAGAGAGAUUGUGAUGGGAACUUAUAUGAUUAGAUUGACCUUUAUUUGAAUAAUAUUUACAGCAGCAGAUUUGAUGAAAAGAAAACUGUUGUUCACGAUAUCAUUUAUGUUAGGAAGCAAACUAAGAGAUGGUUCAAGUCCCAGAAUAAAAAUUUGUUCUGAACAAAAAAGGAAGCAUGUGGAUGCAAAUAUUGUCAACAUUUCUCCCCUCCCCCCCCAAAAAAAGCCCUCAUUUUUUAAAGAUAACUUUCUGGGAACUUUAGGCAAUGCAUGUAUAUUUAUCUACAGGCAACAGAACUAAAGCUGCUCAUAUAAGGACAAGAAGUCUUCCAAAUAUUUCAGUAGCUCAGUUUUUACUUGCCUGCCUGCAUUCAUGUAUGCAUAAAUAUGCAUGAAAUAUUUAGUUAGAUGAGUAUAAAGUCUGUAAUUAAGCAUGUGUGAAAACAUGAAAGACUAUUAAUACUAUUGAGAUAUCCUAAAUGCCAGAGAAUAAAAUCUAACAAAGGAUUGCAAGUCUAUACCUCUCUCAUAAACGUGAUUGCCAAGAAUGAGAUUGAUUCUCAAAUUUUUAAUUUUGUAUUAACUUUCUUUUCUUGAUAUAACAAACUCCAUAACAAGCAAAUAAUAUAUACAAUCAUGCAAGCUGCCAAUUCUUUUUCGCAUGCAUUGAUGUCAUUCAUACAAAACUCACAUCAACUUCAUUGGAACCACAAAACAAUUUGCUCAUCAAUGUCACACUUGUUCUAGGGCUGAAGUGGGAGUAAGGAAGUUGUUGGUACACUAACACUCCAUUCAUCAAAGAAAAAUGAUAAAAAAUGAACAAAUGCAAAACUGUGAAAGAUUCUGCCAAAUCUCAGAUAUUCGCUCAUCCAAAGAAAUACACUUGCUGUAUAAUUUAUGGUACUACACAUGAAAUAGUCACUGUGUUAACAGUUGCAAUGAUCCAGUUUAGACAAUGUUAUAACUAUACUAAGUUGUGUACCCGUUAUGAUGACAAUUUGUUAAAUCUUGUCCAAAGAAUGUGGGCAUUUCAUGUUAGCUGCAACACUUAUUUUACAGUUAGGUGGAAAUGAUAUAUCAAUCACAGGUGUGGCUCUGCAGAGUUUUGAAAAUGACAAGUACUUCACAUUAAAGAAAACUCACACAGUCAUAUCAUCGUGUUAGCCAACAAUCAAACUUGCACAACUCUUCCUUGUGAUUGAAGACUGUUGUAAACAAAUGUCCAGC
rnacentral:lncRNA from 1 species